rnacentral:lncRNA from 1 species
AAAUUAAAAUUUGAUAAACUUUAUACAGUUUUUCUUUUUUUAAAAUAUCUAAUAACAAAUAUAUUAUCAUAAAAUUUAACUUUUUAUAUAUAUUUUUUACUAGCAUUUUUUAUAUAUGUUAUUUUUCGAUACCGUUACUUCUAUUCAACGAUUGAGAUUUAAUUAUUUUAAAAAAUUGUGGCCUAUAAUAACAACUCAUGUUGAGAGAGAUAUCGGUUAUGAGGUAUCCCGAUAAGUGAUAUUUUUAUAUUUUAAUGCAUGAGUAAUUAAGUAAUUUUUUUCUAUAAUAUUAUCAAAAUCUUUCUUCUCUAUUUAUUUUUCUCUACCUUUCUUCUCAAUCUACAGAUAUUUCGUCAAUUCAUAUAAGAAAAGUGACAACACGACCUCAAAAGAUAAUUUUUCUUUUCUCUUUAUUUAAAAUUAUAUUUAAAAUAUUUAUUAGCUUUAACAGUUAAAAUACCAUUCUAUUUAAAAUGUUUAUUAUUUUUAAUGGUUCUAAAUUGUUCUUAAUCUUAUUCAGUUCAAUAUAUUGAACUCAGACGCUUGAUAGACUAGGUUAAGUUCUGAUUAGUCGAAUCAAUUAGCUCAAUCUAAUUUUUAAAUUAUUGAUACUAAUU